UGUAACGACCCGGAUUCUUAACCGGAAUUGGUUCUCAUUUUCUCUUUAAUUAAUUUGGACCAAACCAAUUUCGUUCCUUUUGGUUUAACCAAACUGUGCAUACGUUUAUAUAAAACGUGUACAUCUCCUUCUUCUUUCUAACCUAGCCGUCAAAGUCAUUGCUCUUCCUCUCCACUCAUAACCUAGCCUCAAACCAUGAUCUCUCUCAUGCUUCAUCUCCUUCCCAUAUCUCUUACUCAUCACUUGUGUCAUUUUUCUUCUUCACGCAUGUGCAUGUGCAUGUGCAUAGGAGAACGCGAGUACGAGAUGCGGCGGUAAAACUAAGCACCAUCACCGAUGGAUCACCAUUGCUAGCCACCACCGGAGCUGUUAUGCAUCACUGGAGGAGAAGCUAUGCCAUCAUGCCUAGUCCGGUACCAUCCCGUCCUUGGCGUUGACGCGUUGUAUACGGUUCGUAGGUGGAGAACGUGAGCCGAGAGGGAAAGGAGUCAUACGAGACGGAGCCACCGUCUAAACACCAACCGUCUCCUUCUCCUCUCCUUGUUCCUUGUGCCACAAGCUUCCUUAUCAUUUAAUUAUCAACCGCAUGGUCUUGGUUGGAAUCAACCAUGGAAUCUAAUCUUAGGUGUGAUGGUUCAACAAGUAAUUAUUUCUCGGUGGCCUGUGGCUAAGGUGAGGGUCUAUUCCUGAACUUCUCGUACACGGCUUAGAAUUUCGGAAAAGUCUAAUUUAAUUUCUAAUAUGUUCCGUUUGCGUGAAAUCGAGUCUGUCUUUGCUUGCUUAGUUUUAGGUUCUUUGAUAAAAUGGAAUUAGGGUGUUAGAUGGUUCAACAAUGCUUGGUCAUAUAAUUGAUUAUAUAUAGAUAUAUUUUAUAUUGAGGUGAUUAGGAUGUUAGCCGACCACAGAGACGUAAUUCUGUGUGCCGGCCGGGGACCAGUAGAUUUGAUGAUUUGGUGUGGAGAUGCUGCGGCACAGCUUAGUCGACCUGUUGUGCCAAGGCUUCGAGGUCGAUAAAUCGUCUACGGGCGUGUGUUACCGAGCACUUUGUCGGCGGAGUUUUUGGCCUUUUAUUGGGCAGCGGGAGUGCACCCCGCUAGGACCAUUGUUUGUUUUAUGGGUACUUUAGGUACCGUGUUUGACUCAUGUUAGGGUUAAAUUAUAUUUAUUCGGAGUACUAUGUCCGGGUCUAUGGAUUUCGGGAUUAGCAUCCCAUACCUCACUGAGUGACUCCCCUGUUGCUCACCCCUCUUUUCUCCUUGCAGGUGAGCUUGACGAGUAGUCGGAUAACUGAACGGAUGGUGUCUUGGGAUUGUCGUAUUUUAUUUCGGUUUUCAAUUCGAUUUAUUUCACAUAUUUUUAUAAUUAAAUUUAAAGUUGUAUUUUUUUCGGAUAUAUAAUAUUAAAAUUUUUAAUAUUUUGUUCGGUUUUGAAUAACUCGGUUUAAUUUGGUAUUUUUUUGGUAAGUAACACGCCGGUCUCGAGAGAGGAGGAGACGGGUGUUACAAUUUGGUAUCAGAGCGGGUUCCGUCCCGGUUCCGACCCGGGAUGACGAUUUAUGGGACUUGUGUUUCAACGAUUUUCAAAGUGUUUGGGAUUGGGAGUUUUGAAAAAUAAAAGUGACACCAUUCGGUUUAGUUUUACUCGUUAGAUAUUAGCAUUUUAACUCUUUCAUUUUUUGCAGGAGAAGACCAAGUUUCAUUUCGUUUCCAUUUAUUUCGUGUUCUUCUUUCCUUCAUAGUCGUCGAAGUUCUUUAGGGUUUCGUCUAGAAUUCGGGACGAAUUCCAGUUAAGUGGGGAAGAAUUGUAACGACCCGGAUUCUUAACCGGAAUUGGUUCUCAUUUUCUCUUUAAUUAAUUUGGACCAAACCAAUUUCGUUCCUUUUGGUUUAACCAAACUGUGCAUACGUUUAUAUAAAACGUGUACAUCUCCUUCUUCUUUCUAACCUAGCCGUCAAAGUCAUUGCUCUUCCUCUCCACUCAUAACCUAGCCUCAAACCAUGAUCUCUCUCAUGCUUCAUCUCCUUCCCAUAUCUCUUACUCAUCACUUGUGUCAUUUUUCUUCUUCACGCAUGUGCAUGUGCAUGUGCAUAGGAGAACGCGAGUACGAGAUGCGGCGGUAAAACUAAGCACCAUCACCGAUGGAUCACCAUUGCUAGCCACCACCGGAGCUGUUAUGCAUCACUGGAGGAGAAGCUAUGCCAUCAUGCCUUGUCCGGUACCAUCCCGUCCUUGGCGUUGACGCGUUGUAUACGGUUCGUAGGUGGAGAACGUGAGCCGAGAGGGAAAGGAGUCAUACGAGACGGAGCCACCGUCUAAACACCAACCGUCUCCUUCUCCUCUCCUUGUUCCUUGUGCCACAAGCUUCCUUAUCAUUUAAUUAUCAACCGCAUGGUCUUGGUUGGUAAUAUCCAAUUCUUUUAUUGGUUAGUUAAGUGAUCUUAUUCGUUACUUGUGGUGGAAGUAACUUAAGUAAGGUAAACCCUAAAUUUCAUUCGUAGGAAUCAACCAUGGAAUCUAAUCUUAGGUGUGAUGGUUCAACAAGUAAUUAUUUCUCGGUGGCCUGUGGCUAAGGUGAGCUUGACGAGUAGUCGGAUAACUGAACGGAUGGUGUCUUGGGAUUGUCGUAUUUUAUUUCGGUUUUCAAUUCGAUUUAUUUCACAUAUUUUUAUAAUUAAAUUUAAAGUUGUAUUUUUUUCGGAUAUAUAAUAUUAAAAUUUUUAAUAUUUUGUUCGGUUUUGAAUAACUCGGUUUAAUUUGGUAUUUUUUUGGUAAGUAACACGCCGGUCUCGAGAGAGGAG